UACAUUCACUGAUACUGUGGUAGGCUUAACUUCACAAACAAUGUUUAACAGAAACUCUAAAAUUAAUGUACUCUUAAUUACCUUUAAAAUCUAUUUGUAAAUGACUAAAAUAAAAUUCAUAAUAAUUACUGUUCAGUUAAAUAGUUUAGUUUUCACCAUAACAGUUGUUUUUUUAUGAGAGUUGAUGAUAUAUGUAGUGCUUAGACCACUACAUCUGUUAUAUCCCAACCAGCCUGAUCAGUCCUGAUGCUGGACAAAAGACCUUGUGAGCACUUGAUAUGAUUUUCUAACAACGGAAUGGAAGAAAAUCGAGGUUUGGCACGUGAUCCAAUCCCAAGACUCCGUAAUACACCAAGCAAAAUGCAAAGAGAGACCACUUGUUCACCCUACAGAAGAAAAAAGGGUUGUGAUGAAAAGCAUAUGAAACAGGAUGAUAAUGAAAAAUCAGAGGUUGAAGAACAAUGUUUUGAAGUGCAAAAUGAAGAGGAGCAGGUGUCUCCAGGUACUGGCAAUGAAAUGAGAGUUAAAACUGAUCAAAUGACAUCCAACCGCAGUGAA
rnacentral:misc_RNA from 1 species